GCCUCCGUAGCUCAGUUGGAUAGAGCAGCCGACUUCUAAUCGGCAGGCCGCAGGUUCGAGUCCUGCCGGGGGCGCCG
rnacentral:tRNA from 1 species